rnacentral:rRNA from 1 species
GACGAAGGGGGCUAGCGUUGUUCGGAAUUACUGGGCGUAAAGCGCGUGUAGGCGGUUGUUCAAGUUGGAUGUGAAAGCCUUGAGCUCAACUCAAGAAAUGCAUUCAGGACUGAAUGACUAGAGGACCGGAGAGGAUAGUGGAAUUCCCAGUGUAGUGGUGAAAUGCGUAGAUAUCAGGAGGAACACCUGCGGUGUAGACGGCUUUCUGGACCAUUACUGACACUGAGACACGAAAGCGUGGGUAGCAAACAGG